GCAGGCUUAACACAUGCAAGUCGAGCGGGGGAAGGUAGCUUGCUACCGGACCUAGCGGCGGACGGGUGAGUAAUGCUUAGGAAUCUGCCUAUUAGUGGGGGACAACAUCUCGAAAGGGAUGCUAAUACCGCAUACGUCCUACGGGAGAAAGCAGGGGAUCUUCGGACCUUGCGCUAAUAGAUGAGCCUAAGUCGGAUUAGCUAGUUGGUGGGGUAAAGGCCUACCAAGGCGACGAUCUGUAGCGGGUCUGAGAGGAUGAUCCGCCACACUGGGACUGAGACACGGCCCAGACUCCUACGGGAGGCAGCAGUGGGGAAUAUUGGACAAUGGGGGGAACCCUGAUCCAGCCAUGCCGCGUGUGUGAAGAAGGCCUUAUGGUUGUAAAGCACUUUAAGCGAGGAGGAGGCUACUU
rnacentral:rRNA from 1 species